AACGAACGCUGGCGGCAUGCCUAACACAUGCAAGUCGAACGAGACCUUCGGGUCUAGUCGCGCACGGGUGCGUAACGCGUGGGAACCUGCCCUUAGGUUCGGAAUAACUCCCCGAAAGGGGUGCUAAUACCGGAUAAUGUCUUCGGCCCAAUGAUUUAUCGCCUUUGGAUGGGCCCGCGUUGGAUUAGCUAGUUGGUAGGGUAAAAGCCUACCAAGGCGACGAUCCAUAGCUGGUCUGAGAGGAUGAUCAGCCACACUGGGACUGAGACACGGCCCAGACUCCUACGGGAGGCAGCAGUGGGGAAUAUUGGACAAUGGGCGAAAGCCUGAUCCAGCAAUGCCGCGUGAGUGAUGAAGGCCUUAGGGUUGUAAAGCUCUUUUACCCGGGAUGAUAAUGACAGUACCGGGAGAAUAAGCUCCGGCUAACUCCGUG
rnacentral:rRNA from 1 species